rnacentral:misc_RNA from 1 species
GAUGAAGAACGUAGCGAAAUGCGAUAACUAAUGUGAAUUGCAGAAUUCCGUGAAUCAUCGAGUCUUUGAACGCACAUUGCGCCCCCUGGUAUUCCGGGGGGCAUGCCUGUCCGAGCGUCAUUGCUGCCCAUCAAGCACGGCUUGUGUGUUGGGUCCUCGUCCCCCCCGGGGGACGUGCCCGAAAGGCAGCGGCGGCACCGCGUCCGGUCCUCGAGCGUAUGGGGCUUUGUCACCCGCUCUGCAGGCCCGGCCGGCGCUGGCCGAGGCGAAAGCAACCAUUUUUUCUCCAGGUUGACCUCGGAUCAGGUAGGGAUACCCGCUGAACUUAAGCAUAUCAAUAAGCGGAGGA